GAUGAACGCUGGCGGCGUGCCUAAUACAUGCAAGUCGAGCGAACGGACGAGAAGCUUGCUUCUCUGAUGUUAGCGGCGGACGGGUGAGUAACACGUGGAUAACCUACCUAUAAGACUGGGAUAACUUCGGGAAACCGUAGCUAAUACCGGAUAAUAUUUUGAACCGCAUGGUUCAAAAGUGAAAGACGGUCUUGCUGUCACUUAUAGAUGGAUCCGCGCUGCAUUAGCUAGUUGGUAAGGUAACGGCUUACCAAGGCAACGAUGCAUAGCCGACCUGAGAGGGUGAUCGGCCACACUGGAACUGAGACACGGUCAAGACUACUACGGGAGGCAGCAGUAGGGAAUCUUCCGCAAUGGGCGAAAGCCUGACGGAGCAACGCCGCGUGAGUGAUGAAGGUCUUCGGAUCGUAAAACUCUGUUAUUAGGGAAGAACAUAUGUGUAAGUAACUGUGCACAUCUUGACGGUACCUAAUCAGAAAGCCAUGGCUAACUACGUG
rnacentral:rRNA from 1 species